GGCUGCUGUUACAGCGUUGACACAACUGAAGUGUUCUCCAUUCCUAAAUCCUAAAUCGACAGACCGCUGCCGCAUUCGGCAGUGGCUGAAUUUCCUGGGUGGUCUUUAAGAAUUGCCCCGGGAGGCAGGCACUGUCAUAGUCUAAUCCGGAUGUUACAGAGUGUGUCCAGUAACGUUGAGAGUCGUAUCUUCCACCAUUCUUUGCCAUCGCAUGAUGAAACGCUCUAUUUAUAUUAAAAUGAAGGUGUUCCUCAGGGAGACAUCAAGCAGAAUGAAACAACAAACAGAGCUUUAGAGACUGAAUAUGUGAAGUGACAGUGACGGCAAAAGGGUAGCUCUUGUUACCGAGAGGCCCAGAGGACCGCAGAAAGACUUACAGCGCGAGCAGCUCUCAUAGCUUGAAGUACUCAGAGUACAGCGGUUAAUCAAAUCAUUUCUCAUCUUGCACAUCUUGACUUGAAAGGACUUAAAAGAGCUUACCAAAGGGCUGGCCCUGUGGUUGAGUGGUUAAGUUCGCGCGCUCCGCUGCAGGCAGCCCAGUGUUUCGUUGGUUCGAAUCCUGGGCGAGGACAUGGCACUGCUCAUCAGACCACGCUGAGGCAGCAUCCCACAUGCCACAACUGGAAGGACCCACAACGAAGAAUAUACAACUACGUACCGGGGGGCUUUGGGGAGAAAAAGGAAAAAAAUAAAAUCUUUAUAAAAAAAAAAAAAAGAGCUUACCAAAAUAUAUGCAAUCAUAUUUAAAAUAUGAGCCAGUAAAUCAUAAAACACAAUGGAAA
rnacentral:lncRNA from 1 species